rnacentral:lncRNA from 1 species
AUGUGGCUUCCAAAGCAUGUGGUCUUUUCAGCAAGGGGGUCAGACUCCUUACACGGCAGCUGGCAUCCAGGAGGGAGGAACUGGAACUUUGGUACUGAGCGUGGAAGUUCUAGAAUGCUACUUCUGCUUCAUUCUCUUGGUUACAGCAGUCACAGGAGCAACCGGGUUCAAGGGGAGGGGAAAUACACCCUACAUUUUGCGGGGCAGCGUGCACGUACAGGGAUAAAGCGGCCUGGUCGCAGCCAUUUUGGUAGAAAACAUGCCCCUGUAGCAGCUGCACACCCGAUUUCACUUAUUAAAUGAUACGCGUCGAGAUGGGCAUCGCGCGAAAAACACAUGCACGUGAAUAACUCCCCAAAGAAAACGGCUGCCAAUUAAAGGUUCAUGCUGGGGUGGGGGGAAACCCUAAGAUGAAGAAAAAAUUUGAUGUUCCGUUGCCUUCGCGUCUAAAAACAGGCACAGGCCGUGAAGACCUCCAGCCGAAUUUCCACCAGCCCGUACGAUCUGUUUUCUGUGUUCACUUACUCCUUGUCUCUGUGGUGUCUUUUUCCUGUUACCACCAGACUCACGUGGGUAGCUUUUCUAGGUGAGUUUUCACUUUGCCCAGAAGUUACAAAAAAAAAAAAAAAAACAACACAAAAAACAAACCAGCAUAGACUUAACGGGGUUUGGUUGGAAGAGUGAACAAGAAAAACGAGACAGUGUCAGAACGGAGGGGAGAACGAAGGAAAAGAACAGGGAGGGGACGGCAGCAUGGAAAACCGUGCAGCAGUUCAGAAAGUCAAGGCACACAAAAUGUACACACACAUUUGGUACAUCAGGUCUGAGCGUGGCUUCUCAGGAAGCCGAAGGUCAAGGUGUGCAUAAGAGAGUAAGAAACCUUCUUUGGGUUGGAGAGGCUUAAAAAAAGAGAGGUUUAAAAGCUUGAAGUGGGGGGGGGGGGGCACCUGGGUGGUUCAGUCGGUUAAGCGUCUGCCUUUGACUCAGGUCACGAUCUCGGGCUUGUGAGUUCGAGCCCCUCAUCAGGCCGUCUCAGCACAGAGCCCGCUUCCGAUCCUCUGUCCCCCUCUGUCUCUGCUUCUCUCACUUGCACUCUCUCUCUCUCUGUCUCUCUCAAAAUAAAUGAAUAAACUUUAAAAAAAGGGGGGGGGAG